rnacentral:rRNA from 1 species
GACGAACGCUGGCGGCGUGCCUAAUACAUGCAAGUUGAGCGAUGAAGAUUGGUGCUUGCCCCAAUUUGAAGAGCAGCGAACGGGUGAGUAACGCGUGGGGAAUCUGCCUUUGAGCGGGGGACAACAUUUGGAAACGAAUGCUAAUACCGCAUAACAACUUUAAACAUAAGUUUUAAGUUUGAAAGAUGCAAUUGCAUCACUCAAAGAUGAUCCCGCGUUGUAUUAGCUAGUUGGUGAGGUAAAGGCUCACCAAGGCGAAGAUACAUAGCCGACCUGAGAGGGUGAUCGGCCACAUUGGGACUGAGACACGGCCCAAACUCCUACGGGAGGCAGCAGUAGGGAAUCUUCGGCAAUGGACGAAAGUCUGACCGAGCAACGCCGCGUGAGUGAAGAAGGUUUUCGGAUCGUAAAACUCUGUUGGUAGAGAAGAACGUUGGUGAGAGUGGAAAGCUCAUCAAGUGACGGUAACUACCCAGAAAGGGACGGCUAACUACGUG